rnacentral:lncRNA from 1 species
UUCUCUCUUCUUGCUCACAUGAACACGAAAGAGGUUAUCUUGAACAUGUUUUCGCUCAAGUUUGAAACAGUAUUGUUUAGUGUUACUCUUCCUUCAAGCUAUGUUAAGGUUUAAAGCUAUUUAAUGGGUUGAAAGUGUAGUUAGGCCAUUGGAGAUACCAAAACAGCUAUCAAACUUUUUGAUAUGUUAAAGCUUCAUGUUUCCAACAACUAAUGGUUGUUCUAUCCUAAAACUUUUGGUAUGUACUUUAAGCAUAAACUUUAUAUUGUCAUUCAUGGUGUUAAACAAUGUGAUUAGAGUAGAAGUUCAACAUUGCUAUGUUGUAACUUAGUUUCAGUUUGAAUCUGUUUGUGUGUUUCUCGAGGCCUUUUUUAAGCAAGCCGCAUAGUAUAAACUCUAACUUUUGGGUGUUGUAGACUGUUUUAGGUUGAUUUCUAGGAUUAUUUAGGUUGAAGGUAGCCUUCAUUAGGGUUUUUAUUGUCAUCUUUUUGGUGUAAAUUAGGACGAAAAUCAUGUUAAAUGACUACACUGUUGUUUUUCUCAUUUUACCUGAACAUGGUUUCAUAAAAUUACUUUCUUGCCUGUUAUACGUCUUUAUCUAAUCUCAGUGCUAUAAAAUUAUUUUCGUGUUCACCUUCGUUUGUUAUCAAAAUAUGUUGUUAAAUAA